CCCCGCUUAUAUUUCUAAUUGCUGGAUUAUAAAAUUCUGUCCAAUCGCCCCAGAUACAGCAUAGAAGAAAAGCAAUUCCAAUGGGAGAGCAGAGAGGAGUGGCUUGAUGAAAUGGGGGUGUGGUCAGAGAUGUGAAGGCGGGGACUUCAGGGAUGGUGUGAAGGAGAGCUUUGAACAGUAAUCUUAUCUGGCUGAAGGUUUUCCUGCCCACCGCGUCCUAUCUAGAAAGCUCGUUUUAUUAUUACUCAUUCAAAAAAAAAAUCUACAUUUUACUAGAAAAUAGAUGAGAUCGGAAACUUAAACAUUGACUUUAUGUUUAAAGGACGUUAAAGUUGUUCCUAAAGCAAUGCGUUAUGAAAGGUGACAACGCAAAGAACAAUGUUAUUGUUUCUUUUAAAAUGUGAACUUUUUGGGUAUGGGGGUUCGUAUCUUUGAUUCCAGCCUGCUCUACAUAGCUAGUUCCAGGUCAGCCACAGACACACACACACACACACACACACACACACACACACACACACGCUCACACACACUCAAUGCCAUGUUUCACAUGUCAAAAUAUCAAAUUUUAAGGCCUGCUUCUUUCUAAAAUGAAGUCAGUGGGAGACAAGUUGGAUAGAAGGACCCUUACAGGAAAUAGUGGUUCUUGGUUCCUUCCAUGGCUUUAUAACUUCCUGUCUGUGGAACGACCAGUUGCUUGCUUCCUUCCUUCUCUUCUUGAGUGGAUUACCAACUCCUACCACUGUUAACCCUGAUCCAGGAAGGAACGUCUGUCUGCAUCAUUCUGAGUGGGCUUUCGUUGCCUCACAUAUGUUCAGCUCUUGAAAACCUGUCAAAAUGAAAGACCAGAAGAUGCAGGAAGGGUGCCAGGCAAGAGUGUGGUCAGUGACCAGCCUGUGCUGAACAGAGGAAGACUCCUGAUGAUUCAGUACUCAUGUCUACGAAGGAGCUUCACCUUUCCCCGAGGAAGUGACACGGGCUGGGAAUGGAGGACGGCCUAACUUCUAGAUCUGAAAUACGUUUUCAGCGCUCCAUCCUAUUGACUAGUGCGGGUACCAGAGCCUGUAGAUGCUUUUGCACUACUGCCUCAGAAGAUGCUGUCGUACCACACGUUCAGAACGGCUGUGUUUCUAACAGGAUCUGGGGAACAAUCUGACACCGGUGAUCCCAGGAUCGGUGAUCCCAGGAUUCCUGCUCUGAGUAGUUAACACACCCGGAAUAUGACUUGGGUAGGAAGAGGAAAACAUAAACA
rnacentral:sRNA from 1 species